UUUUCUCUGACCGGAAACGAGUGAAUCGUUUGAGGUUCCCUAGAUUGGAGUGUGCAUGGCCUGGCCCAGGCGGCCAUGGUACCAAUACCCUGGUUUCAAGUCAACUUGAUGACGGCGUGAGAAUAAGUUGAGGAAUUACUAGAGAUCGGCCUUCUUUUCUUCCCAUGAGCAUUUCGGGAAUGGUGGAUGCAGAUGUGCAUGAUGGCCAACCUGUCAAUGGCUUACCUAGCAGCGGAGAGACCGGCAUGGCGCCGGUGGUUUAUUCCAUCUGUGCGGACAGAGCAUGAUGUGGUUCGCCGAGGGAUACAUUGCACGACACCUCGACACCAUACAAAUUAACAAUAGGAUUACUCGUAGGAUAAGUA